GGAUUUAUUCUUGUGAUUUAUACCACUUUCACAAUUCAUGGGGUUACUCCCACUGGAAUGCCCUUCCCUAGCGAUAAUUCCAUUCCUGGUCUGGGAUUCGCCGCCUCAGGUUCCGGUGCCAAAUGACCUCUCGGCCCACCGCCAGUCUCCAGGUCCAUGUCCAGACUCCGAUAUGACUUGCAAACAAUCCUAUGCACCUGCUCCUGAAGAGUAGCGCUACAGCUACGAAACGCGUCAAGCUACUUUGAUGCCUUUCCCUGCCAUUCUUUUAAUCAAGCUACCAAUACCAUGGUUCACUGGAAGAUGCCAAUCUAUAAUUUACAAUGGAAAUACGUUGCAACUAGUUUGGUGUGCGUUUUAUGUUAUUAUUGUGGCUCUAGGCCAGUUGGCUAUCAUUGUGUCAUUAUUCUAUUUAGUUUUUUUAGUAAUUUUAUCAUGUUAUGGAAUAAAUGUCUUUAUUACCUUAC